AUCCUGCUCUGGCUCCCACCUCCGUUCAGGCGGAGCCACUCGGCGCCUGAAGCGAAGGGCCUCCGGUGCCUACGUGCAGUCGCCUCCUCCGCUUGAGCCUACGCCUUCUGCUCCAGUUGCUUUCCCAACCGAGCAGAAAAGCCGGGGGCGUGUUGCCGGGGCACUGGGAAGCCGGGAGCUUGGGCACUGCGCCUGAAGUCGCUGCUGCGCCUCCCCGCCCACGGGCGGUCGGGUCACGGUCCCUGAAGCCCCAGCCUGCCAGAUUGGAGCCCAUACUGACGUCAAGGGUAAAGGGGACCAGAGGCACCUGAGUCACCCAACCAGAAACCCAGCCUCUAGUGGGUGUUUCAUUGUGACACUGUGCGGCCUGAGGGGGAAGUACCCUCUCCUUUGAUUACCGUUGUGAAUCUAUGAAUAAACAGUUACACCCUGAGGGGUGCUAAGCUUUGGGAGUUACAGGGCUUGAGGUCAGCUCUAGAAGUCUUGAAAGUGGAGUUGUUGCAGGACACUGGGUUCCUUAGGAGCCGCCCCAGGCUUAAUGAUUGUCCAGAAGUUGGCUAUAAAGGGAGCCUGGGAGGCUGAUUGGAGGAGGGAGCAGAAAAAGCCUAACUCAGCAGGUCUGGGCACCGAGAGCCGAAAGCAGGAGCUGUGGUCAGAAGCUCGUGUCCCAGCCGGUAGGGCCUGCUCUCUCCCACCAUGGCGGCCCGAGGCUACGGCUAUUAUCGUGCUGUGAUCUUCUCAGCCAUGUUUGGAGGCUACAGCCUGUACUACUUCAACCGCAAGACCUUCUCCUUUGUCAUGCCGUCGCUGGUGGAAGAGAUCCGUCUGGACAAGGAUGACUUGGGGCUCAUCACCAGUAGCCAGUCAGCAGCCUAUGCCAUCAGCAAGUUUGUGAGUGGGGUGCUGUCUGACCAGAUGAGUGCUCGCUGGCUCUUCUCCUCUGGGCUGCUUCUUGUUGGCCUGGUCAAUGUCAUCUUUUCCUGGAGCUCCACAGUACCUGUCUUCGCUGCUCUCUGGUUCCUCAAUGGCCUGGCCCAGGGGCUGGGCUGGCCCCCGUGUGGCAAGAUCUUGCGGAAGUGGUUUGAGCCAUCUCAGUUUGGCACUUGGUGGGCCAUCCUAUCAACUAGCAUGAACCUGGCUGGAGGGCUGGGCCCCAUCCUGGCAACCAUCCUCGCCCAGAGCUAUAGCUGGCGUAGCACGCUGGCCCUGUCUGGGGCCUUGUGUGUGGUUGUCUCCUUCCUCUGUCUCCUGCUCAUCCACAAUGAACCUGCUGAUGUUGGACUCCGCAACCUGGACCCUAUCCCCUCCAAGGGCAAGAAGGGCUCCUCAAAGGAGGAGAGUACCUUACAGGAGCUGCUGCUGACCCCCUACCUGUGGGUGCUCUCCAUUGGCUACCUUGUGGUAUUUGGCGUAAAGACGUGCUGUACUGACUGGGGCCAGUUCUUCCUUAUCCAGGAGAAAGGACAGUCAGCCCUCGUGGGUAGCUCCUACAUGAGUGCCCUGGAGGUUGGGGGCCUUGUAGGCAGCAUCGCAGCUGGCUACUUGUCAGACCGGGCCAUGGCAAAGCUCUGGAUCCUGGUGUUGGGAGCUGUGUUUGGUUUCUCCUCUUAUGGUCCCAUUGCCUUGUUUGGAGUCAUAGCCAAUGAGAGUGCCCCUCCCAACCUGUGUGGCACCUCCCAUGCCAUUGUGGGACUCAUGGCCAAUGUGGGUGGCUUUCUGGCUGGGUUGCCCUUCAGCACCAUUGCCAAGCAUUACAGCUGGAGCACAGCCUUCUGGGUGGCUGAAGUGAUCUGUGCGGCCAGUACAGGUGCCUUCUUCCUCCUACGAAACAUCCGCACCAAGAUGGGCCGAGUGCCAAAGAAGGCUGAGUGAAGACCGUGCAAACUCUGGAGCGUCCUUUCUCACCUGUGUCAUGGGGGUUGGGAAAGGGAGGGAGGGGGCUGCUCUGGCAGCACCACCUUUGACUUUCUUUUUCUGCACCUUUUCCCUCACCCAGGUGGUGCUGGAAGUUAUCAGUGGCUAAUGAGGUCCCAGCUCCCCAUCCUAUCUCUAUUUAAAAAACAAGUUUUGGGAGUUCUCACUGUAGCACAGUGGGUUAGGAAUCCAAUUGCAGUGGCUUGGGUUGCUGCAGAGGUGUAGGUUCAACCCCUGGCCCAGCAUAGCAGGUUAAAGGACCCAGCAUUGCUACAGCUGCAGUUCGGAUUAGAUUCUUGACCCAGGAACUUCCAUAUGCCUCAGGUGCAGCCAUAAAAAUUAAAAAAAAAAAAAAGAGAGAGAGAGAGAGAGAGAGAAAACCUUUGUUUCUGGACUCCGUUAGUUCUUGCCUUCAAACUGGAAACCCCAGCACUCAGGGAGUCUCCUAUACCCUUCUCCCUCUCCUGGGCUCCGUCCUGUCCCCAUCACACACCAUCCCCACCUGAGGUGACGCUCCUGUAGCAGGACAGCAGUAGCCCGGGACUGCCCUGAGACCUCUCAGCAGGGGGCAGUUGCUAUUGCCAAUACCUUGGACUCCAGUGGAAGAGGGGAGGCCGUCACUCUUACCGAUACCUUGGGUACAGUAGGGGGUAAGGGUGGGAGGGUACAGAGACUUGUUAUAGAAAAUUAAAACUAGAUUUGAUAC
rnacentral:lncRNA from 1 species